UACGUAGGGUGCGAGCGUUGUCCGGAAUUACUGGGCGUAAAGAGCUCGUAGGUGGUUUGUCGCGUUGUUCGUGAAAACCGGGGGCUUAACCCUCGGCGUGCGGGCGAUACGGGCAGGCUAGAGUUCGGUAGGGGAGACUGGAAUUCCUGGUGUAGCGGUGAAAUGCGCAGAUAUCAGGAGGAACACCGAUGGCGAAGGCAGCUCGCUGGGACGGUACUGACGCUGAGGCGCGAAAGCGUGGGGAGCAAACAGG
rnacentral:rRNA from 1 species